GGGAGUGGCAAGAGCACUACUGGGAGCACAUGGAUGUGAGCAACAUCCGCUUCAGGCGCAUGGCUGGGGAUUUCACCCAGGCAUCGUGGAGCUGGCAUGCCAACCAAACCUGAAACAUGUCUAUCUUGCAGGGUUUCAGGAUUCAUGUUCAUGCAAACUUGGCCAAGAUGCAAUCAACUUGCACAAAAUGUGGUGGUUCUGGAAAGACUGUGAAGGUAGC